GGCGAAUGCCUCUGUUUUUUCCUGUCCCUUGCUCCGCUGCGCGAAUGACAGCUGUAGACAGCGAGCACUGUGCGCACGUGCGGUCAAGCACAACUGACAUGGUGUAUCAUACGGAAAGAAGGAAUGCAGAGGUGAGAAGAGCAGGAGGGAUGGACGGAGAAGGGCGCGAAGGAUUCCCACACCAAUCAACCCCAACGUGCAUGCGUGCAAACCAUGCGGCAUCUCCUACGUCUGACCAGGUAGACUGAUGAAGCACAGAUGCCGAAAGCAUGAAGAGUUCCCUCGAGUUGCACCAUCGGGUCCUCCAAACUCCCAUGUGGAGAACCUGCACACCGUAUUACGGCAUGCCGCAGCUUGAAGCAACUGAGAGGGAGAAGCAUGGCAUGCAGGCAGGAUGUGCAAUGUCUCCAGAGGGCCCUGGCCUGAGGCUUUCCAGCAUCCUCCCUGAGCUCAUGCGGCAUCCACCCGGACCGCCUCCUAUUAUCCCGCAUGACGGACGUCACCGCUUCCGCCCUCGAGCAGGACCCUAGACACUGCCCGCCUGGUUCGAUGCGUGCGGCCCACCCGGGCCUCCGUCUGUCCCCGAUCGCGCCCCACGGCCCCGAUGCAAUGGCAGGACGGUUCGUCCUAGACGACGCGGAUGUAGCCACGGCGCUGCGGCUUCAGAUGAGCUGUGGUUGUGUACGCGUAUACAUUUAUGGAGUUGUUCGUGAUGGAAUGACACCUUGAAG
rnacentral:misc_RNA from 1 species